UAGGAUUAAAAUGCAACUAGGCUGUCACAAGCUCAAGAUGCACCUAAGAUCGCCUCCAAGAUGAUCCUAGCAUUUCUGAUUAAUUUAACCCCACGAAAGCUAGGGCACAAACUGGGAUUAGAUACCCCAUUAUGCCUAGCCCUAAAUCUUGAUGUUUACCUUACUAAAGCAUCCGCCUGAGAACUACGAGCACAAACGCUUAAAACUCUAAGGACUUGGCGGUGCUCUAAACCCACCUAGAGGAGCCUGUUCUAUAAUCGAUAACCCACGAUUCACCCAACCACCUCUUGCUAGAGCAGCCUACAUACCGCCGUCGCCAGCCCACCUCCUCUGAGAGUCCCACAGUGAGCACAAUAGCCUACAAACCGUUAGUAAGACAGGUCAAGGUAUAGCCUAUGGGGUGGAAGAAAUGGGCUACAUUUUCUACGAUAGAAAACACACGAAAGAGGAUAUGAAAUAGUCCUCGGAAGGCGGAUUUAGCAGUAAAGUGGGAUAAUAAAGCCCCCUUUAAACCGGCCCUGGAGCACGUACAUACCGCCCGUCACCCUCC
rnacentral:rRNA from 1 species